AUUGAACGCUGGCGGCAGGCCUAACACAUGCAAGUCGAGCGGAGCGGCGGACGGGUGAGUAAUGCCUAGGAAUCUGCCUGGUAGUGGGGGAUAACGUCCGGAAACGAGCGCUAAUAACGCCUACUAUCAGAUGAGCCUAGGUGGGCUUAGCUAGUUGGUGGGGUAAAGUCCUACGAAGGCGACGAACCGUACCUGGUCUGAGAGGAUGAUCAGUCACACUGUAACUGAGACACGGUCCAGACUCCGACGGGAGGCAGCAGUGGGGAAUAUUGGACAAUGGGCGAAAGCCUGAUCCAGCCAUGCCGCGUGUGUGAAGAAGGUCUUCGGAUUGUAAAGCACUUUCAGUUGGGAGGCGUUACCAACAGAAUAAGCACCGGCUAACUUCGUGCCAGCCGCCGCGGUAAUAC
rnacentral:rRNA from 1 species